rfam:Brachypodium distachyon strain Bd21 chromosome 3, whole genome shotgun sequence.
AAAAUACUCUCUUUGUCCGGUAUUAAGUGUCGCAACUUUGUCUAGAUAUGCAUGUAUCUAGACGCGUUUUAGUGUGUCGGUAGAUGCGUAUCUAGACAAAGUUGCGACACUUAAUACCGGACGGAGGGAGUAAUUG